UACGUAGGGGGCAAGCGUUGUCCGGAUUUAUUGGGCGUAAAGAGCGUGUAGGCGGCUUGGUAGGUCUCGCGUCAAAACCUGAGGCUCAACCUCAGUUCGCGUGGGAAACCACCUAGCUAGAGUCCGGAAGAGGAGAACGGAAUUCCCAGUGUAGCGGUGAAAUGCACAGAUAAUCAGGAGGAACACCAGCGGCGAAGGCGGCGCUCUGGGCCGGUACUGACGCUGAGGAGCGAAAGCGUGGGGAGCAAACAGG
rnacentral:rRNA from 1 species